rnacentral:rRNA from 1 species
UGGGGAAUAUUGCGCAAUGGGGGCAACCCUGACGCAGCAACGCCGCGUGCGGGACGACGGCCUUCGGGUUGUAAACCGCUUUCAGCAGGGAAGAUAGUGACGGUACCUGCACAAGAAGCCCCGGCUAACUACGUGCCAGCAGCCGCGGUAAUACGUAGGGGGCGAGCGUUAUCCGGAUUCAUUGGGCGUAAAGCGCGCGCAGGCGGCUCUUCAAGCGGAACCUCUAACCCCGGGGCUCAACCUCGGGCCGGGUUCCGAACUGGAGGGCUCGAGUGCGGUAGAGGGAGGCGGAAUUCCCGGUGUAGCGGUGGAAUGCGCAGAUAUCGGGAAGAACACCGAUGGCGAAGGCAGCCUGCUGGGCCGGCACUGACGCUGAGGCGCGAAAGCUAGGGGAGCGAACAGG